UACGUAGGGGGCAAGCGUUGUCCGGAAUCAUUGGGCGUAAAGCGCGUGUAGGCGGCCCGGUAAGUCCGCUGUGAAAGUCGGGGGCUCAACCCUCGAAUGCCGGUGGAUACUGUCGGGCUAGAGUGCGGGAGAGGCGAGUGGAAUUCCUGGUGUAGCGGUGAAAUGCGCAGAUAUCAGGAGGAACACCAGAUGCGAAGGCAGCUUGCUGGAACGUAACUGACGCUGAGACACGAAAGCGUGGGGAGCAAACAGG
rnacentral:rRNA from 1 species